rnacentral:rRNA from 1 species
CCUACGGGGGGCAGCAGUGGGGAAUAUUGGGCAAUGGGCGAAAGCCUGACCCAGCAACGCCGCGUGAAGGAAGACGGCUUUCGGGGUUUAAACCUCUUUUUACAGGGGAGUACAGAAGACGGUACCUGUCUAAUAAGCCACGGCUAACUACGGGCCAGCAGCCGCGGUAAUACGGAGGGCGCCAGCGUUGUCCGGAUUUACUGGGUGUAAAGGGAGUGUAGCCGGGCUGACAAGUCAGAUGUGAAAUCCGGGGGCUCAACCGUCGAACUGCAUGUGAAACUGGCGGGCUUGAGUAUCGGAGAGGUAGGCGGAAUUCGUGGUGUAGCGGUGAAAUGCGUAGAUAUCAGGAGGAACACCAGUGGCGAAGGCGGCCUACUGGACGGCAACUGACGUUGAGGCUCGAAAGCGUGGGGAGCAAACAGGAUUAGAUACCCGUGUAGUC